rnacentral:rRNA from 1 species
AUGAUUGGAGGCGGGGUACAAGUAGACCCGCAGUACGGAAUGACAAUAGUGGAUCUCAACAAUCUUGGGUACACAAACAAACCAUUCGUCUUUGUCAAUGAGGUGGCGCAUGUUUUCUAUGUGAAGGACAUGUCUACCCAACCGAGAAAAAGAAAAGGUAAGGAAGCGAAUACAUCAUACGAUGAGCCAAAGCGCCACACAGUUCUUUCAAGGAAAAGAAACAUCGUGGGUGUGGAGGAGAAGACAGACAUGUCAAAAGAUUAUGAAAAGUUUCAUGAAAUUCCUCCCUUCACAUUGAAGACUGACCCAAGCAUCCUGUUAAAUGAUGAAGAUUAUACAUGGUUAUGGCGCAAUAAGCAA